AGAUCCAAGGACCCGCUCCCGGCUCAAAAGCAAAACUCCUCCCACAACUUCUCCAUGAUUGGUUGGAUUUAUAGGGGGCCUGCCCAGGAGUUAUCGCGAGAACAGCUGCGGCCCGGGAAGUGUUGGGCGUUCCGUGCUUCAGGGGCGAACGCGGAGGUGGUAGCGGGGUAUCCACUGGGAUAUCGUUUGAAGGGGCUGUGGGAAACCCUGCGCGAGGGCUUUAAGGACUCUGAGUCCUGCCUUCGCGCCGAGGAGGCCUCGUUCCUGAGUUCAGGUCUGACCUGCAUAAGCCCCAGUUUUUCUUGAAGAUUAAUUAGUUACGCCAGAUAUGCUGCUGUUCUUUACUUUGGGAUUGCUUGUACAUUUUGUGUUCUUUGCCUCCAUCUUUGACAUUUAUUUUACAUCUCCUUUGGUUCAUGGAAUGACUCCUCAGUUUACACCAUUGCCACCUCCAGCAAGAAGAUUAGUUCUGUUUGUUGCUGAUGGCCUGCGAGCAGAUUCACUUUAUGAAUUAGAUGAAAAUGGAAAUUCAAGAGCACCAUUUAUAAGGAGUAUCAUAAUGCAUGAGGGCAGCUGGGGUAUAUCUCAUACACGUGUGCCAACAGAAUCUCGGCCGGGUCAUGUAGCCAUGAUAGCUGGGUUUUAUGAAGAUGUCAGUGCAGUUGCCAAAGGAUGGAAGGAAAAUCCUGUAGAAUUUGAUUCUCUUUUUAAUGAAAGCAAGUACACAUGGAGCUGGGGAAGCCCAGAUAUUUUACCUAUGUUUGCCAAAGGUGCUAGUGGAGACCAUGUUUAUACUUACAGCUAUGAUGCUGAAAGAGAGGAUUUUGGUGCUGAUGAUGCAACAAAACUGGAUACAUGGGUUUUUGAUAAAGUUAAGGACUUCUUUCAUGCUGCCAGAAACAAUCAAUCUUUGUUUUCUAAAGUAAAUGAAGAAAAGGUAGUUUUUUUCUUACAUUUAUUAGGACUCGAUACAAAUGGACAUGCCCACCGACCAUCAUCAAGGGAGUAUAAAGACAACAUUAAAAUAGUUGAUGAUAGAGUAAAAGAAAUUGUCUCCAUGUUUCAAAAUUUUUAUGGAAAUGAUGGAAAAACAGCAUUUAUUUUUACCUCUGACCAUGGAAUGACAGACUGGGGUUCCCACGGGGCUGGUCAUCCUUCAGAGACUUUGACUCCUUUAGUCACUUGGGGAGCUGGAAUCAAGUAUCCCCAAAAAGUAUCAGCUCAACAAUUUGACGAUGAGUUUUUGAAAGAAUGGAGACUAGAGUCCUGGAAGAGGCAAGAUGUCAAUCAGGCUGAUAUUGCACCAUUGAUGGCUUCUCUUAUUGGAGUUCCCUUUCCCCUUAAUUCAGUGGGAAUCCUUCCUGUGGAAUAUCUUAAUAAUACUGAUCUCUUCAAAGCAGAAAGCAUGUUUACAAAUGCAGUACAGAUUCUUGAACAGUUCAAGGUGAAAAUGACUCAGAAAAAAGAAACUACUUUACCAUUUUUGUUUACACCUUUUAAGCUGCUCUCUGAUUCUAAACAGGUAGACGUUUUAAGAAAAGCAAGAUUGUACAUAAAACAGGGAAAGUUUGAUGAAGCGGUUUCCCUUUGCACAGAACUGAUUCAUCUUGCAUUAAAAGGAUUAUCCUAUUAUCACACUUAUGACAGAUUCUUCUUGGGCAUCAGUGUUGCUAUUGGUUUUGUGGGUUGGACUUCUUAUGUUUCUUUGCUGAUCAUCAAGUCUCAUUCCAACCUAACAAGAAGUAUUAGUAAAGAAGUUAAGAAAGCAAGCCAUCUUCUGCCAUGUAGUUUUGUUGCUAUUGGCAUUUUAGUAACAUUCUUCCUGCUGAUUCAAGCCUGUCCCUGGACUUACUAUGUAUAUUGUUUGUUGCCAGUGCCAAUAUGGUAUGCAGUUCUAAAAGAACUUCAAGUUAUUCAAGACCUUGUUGCAUCACUAUUGACCUUUCCUCUGAGCCAUUUUGUUGGGCACCUGUUAAUCUGUACCUUGGGAAUUGAAGUAUUAGUUCUCAGUUUUUUCUACCGUUAUAUGCUUACAGCUGGACUUGUUAUAUUUGCGGGCUGGCCAUUUCUCACUCAGCUGUGGACGAGAGCAAAGGUCAUCUCCUUGAGUUGGACUUUCUUCUCUUUGCUCCUGGCAGUGUUCCCACUGAUGCCUGUUGUAGGUCGAAAGCCAGAUCUCUCUUUGGUAAUGAGUGCAGGCUUCCUGGUUCUUCUACUAUCCCUGUUUGUUAUAACAUCUCUCAUCAAAAGAAAAAAUAGUUUUAUCAAGGAAGAGUUAUUGGUACAUCUAUUACAGAUGCUGAGCACAGUGCUUUCCAUGUAUGUUGUGUAUAGUACCCACAAUAGUCUACUCAAGAAACAAGGACUGCCUCUUAUGAAUCAGGUUGUGAGCUGGGCAAUAUUGGCCUCUUCCUUGGUGGUGCCACUGCUGAGUUCUCCAGUUCUCUUUCAGCGAUUGAUUAGCAUACUUCUUUCCUUGAUGUCCACCUACUUGCUCCUAAGCACAGGGUAUGAAGCUCUCUUUCCAUUAGUGUUAUCAUGUUUGAUGUUCAUCUGGAUUCAUAUGGAACAAGAAACCCUACAACAAUCUGGUGUUUGCUGUAAACAAAAGCUCACAAGUAUCCAGUUCUCCUAUAAUACUGAUAUAAUUCAGUUUCGACAUCUCUGUCUGGAUGACAUCCGUAGAGCUUUUUUCCUUGUUUUCUUUUUAGUGACAGCAUUUUUUGGAACUGGAAAUAUAGCCUCUAUUAACAGCUUUGAUCUUGCCUCUGUCUAUUGCUUUCUGACUGUAUUUAGUCCUUUCAUGAUGGGAUCCCUGAUGAUGUGGAAGAUUCUAAUUCCUUUUGUUCUUGUCAUGUGUGCUUUUGAAGCAGUUCAGUUAACUACACAGUUAUCAUCAAAAAGCCUUUUUCUCAUUGUCCUGGUGAUAUCAGACAUUAUGGCUUUGCAUUUUUUUUUCCUGGUGAAGGACUAUGGCAGCUGGCUUGAUAUUGGAACAAGCAAAGCCUUUAGUGGACAUUGCCAAGUCCCAAGAUGCUGAGGCUGUUGAUGGUACCACUUCAGUGACCUUGCUGGCUUCAGAGUUUCUGAAGCAAGUGAAAUCAUACAUAGAAGAGGGUUUUCACCCCCAGAUCAUCAUUCAAGCCUUCUACAUGGCCACCCAGUUGCAUUAGCCACUAUGUGAUUGUCAUGUCCAUGACCAUCUUUCUGGUGUUUCUCAAUGGCCUGGCACAGCUGCUCACAACAAAGAAACUCAGACUGUAUGGCAAACCCAAAAGCCAUCUCAUAUGAUGUUAUGGAAACCUUCAUUUAGCAUCUGGAUUCUCUCUCCUGCUCAUCUAAAAUCCCAUUAAGGAUUCAAUAGGAAUCCAUUGAUGCAUUGUAUAUUUCUGUAGAAAAAAUAAUAUUUUGAAUUCUGAACUUAUAGGAUAUCUGGGAUAAAGGAGCUUCCUUUUCUUUCUUUUUCUUUUAAGAUUGUUCAAUCAUUGUGAAACAGUAAUGAUGUCUAUAGAAAAGCAUUCUCCAUUCUCAUUUUGUUUUCUUUUAGCUGGCUGCUCGUCUCAGUGAUGUUUCAUAGCACUUGUCACAAUCUGAUCAUCAAGGUACCACUCCCCAUAUGCCCGAAGAAGAUCAUGCUUCUGUGAGGGCGGUAGUGGUGGCAUCCAAAAUCACUGGUGUGGCUGAACUUGAAGGACUCACCACAUGGCACUGUAAAUAUAUAUCCGCUCUCAGCACAGGUUUUGUAGCAGUUCUAACUGCUCAAUAAUAUCACUUAUAAGACAAUUAGGGUAUCUUAUUUCAAAUUGACUAAAGCUCUACUGGAAAAAUACUUGCAAGUUCUUGUCAUUUUUCUUCAGUAUGCAGUUUACUGUCUUACACUUAGUGCUAUUGCCAGGGGUGUCAUAGUCAAUAGUUAGAUGCAAGUUUAACCUUGACAUUUUUUCCUCCAUUUAUGGUUUAUCGUGGAAUUUCUAGGGGUGGAAAAGUAGAAUACUUGGUAUUUGUGUCUUUUUAAAAGGAAUAGUUUUUAAUUGUAGAUGCAACAUCUGUUACCUCUGUAGUGGUUUUUUUUCAUAUAUUGUUUCAACAGAAUUUUUCAAAUCAAUGGUUAAAACAAUAUCAUAAGAAUUCUUGUUAAAACUGUUCUUCUGGUUGUGAGAUUCUAAUCCAAGGGCCUAAAUUCAUUUCAUUAAAUUUAGAUUUCCAUUUGUAAA